rnacentral:rRNA from 1 species
CACGAAGCAAUUUGAGCUAAUUUAAUACAUGUAUUAGAAUUUAUGGUAUGUUACAUAAUAUUAUAAUGAUAUUAAAUUAGGAGUGAUAUUCUUUCCAAAUUUUGCGAUAUCUUGAUGUGUCUGAAAAGUAUUUAGUACAAUUACAAUUUAUAAGCGCUUAGGUUUAUAAAAAGUAUUAACAAUUAUAAUUUUAUAAACCUGUUUUGUAUAAUAAUUAACAUGUUUGGUUAUUUAAUAUUAAUAUAUAUCAUUUAUAAAUAUUAAAACACAACAUUAAUUAUAUAAAUGUUUUUUAAUGUUACUAUUAGUAAUAAAUAGAUGUUUAUAAUGAACUUGGCAACUUAUCUUUCAACUGUUUAUCAAAAACAUAGUUAUUAGAAAUUAAUUAAUAAUAUAUUCUGCUCAAUGAAUAAUUAAAUAGCCGCAGUACCCUGACUGUGCAAAGGUAGCAUAAUCAUUUGGCUUAUAAUUGAAGUCUUGUAUGAAUGAAAUGAUGAAGGAUAUCUGUAUCAUAAAUAUAAUAUUAAUUUACUUAUAAAGUGCAAAUACUUUAAUUUAAAUAAUAGACGAGAAGACCCUUGAAAUUUUAAGAAUAUGUAUUGAAGGGUUUUUGUUGGGGCAACAGUGUAACAAAUAACUUACAUUGGGUUACAUGAAAUAAAAUAGAUUGAAUAAAUUACUCUAGGGAUAACAGCGUAAUAUAAUAAUGUUUGCGACCUCGAUGUUGGAUUAGGAAAC